rnacentral:rRNA from 1 species
UCGGCGGGCCCGCCAUUCAUGGCCGCCGGGGGCUCUCAGCCCCGGGCCCGCGCCCGCCGGAGACACCACGAACUCUGUCUGAUCUAGUGAAGUCUGAGUUGAUUGUAUCGCAAUCAGUUAAAACUUUCAACAAUGGAUCUCUUGGUUCCGGCAUCGAUGAAGAACGCAGCGAAAUGCGAUAACUAGUGUGAAUUGCAGAAUUCCGUGAAUCAUCGAGUCUUUGAACGCACAUUGCGCCCCCUGGUAUUCCGGGGGGCAUGCCUGUCCGAGCGUCAUUGCUGCCCAUCAAGCACGGCUUGUGUGUUGGGUCGUCGUCCCCUCUCCGGGGGGGACGGGCCCCAAAGGCAGCGGCGGCACCGCGUCCGAUCCUCGAGCGUAUGGGGCUUUGUCACCCGCUCUGUAGGCCCGGCCGGCGCUUGCCGAACGCAAAUCAAUCUUUUUCCAGGGUGACCUCGGAUCAGGUAGGGAUACCCGCUGAACUUAA